UAGGGAAUCUUCGGCAAUGGACGAAAGUCUGACCGAGCAACGCCGCGUGAGUGAAGAAGGUUUUCGGAUCGUAAAACUCUGUUGUUAGAGAAGAACAAGGACGUUAGUAACUGAACGUCCCCUGACGGUAUCUAACCAGAAAGCCACGGCUAACUACGUGCCAGCAGCCGCGGUAAUACGUAGGUGGCAAGCGUUGUCCGGAUUUAUUGGGCGUAAAGCGAGCGCUGGCGGUUUCUUAAGUCUGAUGUGAAAGCCCCCGGCUCAACCGGGGAGGGUCAUUGGAAACUGGGAGACUUGAGGGCAGAAGAGGAGAGUGGAAUUCCAUGUGUAGCGGUGAAAUGCGUAGAUAUAUGGAGGAACACCAGUGGCGAAGGCGGCUCUCUGGUCUGUAACUGACGCUGAGGCUCGAAAGCGUGGGGAGCAAACAGG
rnacentral:rRNA from 1 species